UCGGGAAUAUUGCGCAAUGGAGGAAACUCUGACGCAGUGACGCCGCGUGCAGGAAGAAGGUUUUCGGAUUGUAAACUGCUUUAGACAGGGAAGAAUAAAGACAGUACCUGUAGAAUAAGCUCCGGCUAACUACGUGCCAGCAGCCGCGGUAAUACGUAGGGAGCGAGCGUUAUCCGGAUUUACUGGGUGUAAAGGGCGAGUAGGCGGGCUGGUAAGUUGGAAGUGAAAUGUCGGGGCUUAACCCCGGAACUGCUUUCAAAACUGCUGGUCUUGAGUGAUGGAGAGGCAGGCGGAAUUCCUAGUGUAGCGGUGAAAUGCGUAGAUAUUAGGAGGAACACCAGUGGCGAAGGCGGCCUGCUGGACAUUAACUGACGCUGAGGAGCGAAAGCGUGGGGAGCAAACAGGAUUAGAUACCCUGGUAGU
rnacentral:rRNA from 1 species